GAAAUGCGAUAAGUAAUGUGAAUUGCAGAAUUCAGUGAAUCAUCGAAUCUUUGAACGCACCUUGCGCUCCUUGGUAUUCCUUGGAGCAUGCCUGUUUGAGUAUCAUGAAAUCUUCAAAGUAAAUCUUUUGUUAACUCAAUUGGUUUCUACUUUGGUAUUGGAGGUCUUUGCAGCUUCACACCUGCUCCUCUUUGUUCAUUAGCUGGAUCUCAGUGUUAUGCUUGGUUCCACUCGGCGUGAUAAGAUAUCUAUCGCUGAGGACACUGUAAAAGGUGGCCAAGGUAAAUGCAGAUGAACCGCUUCUAAUAGUCCAUUGACUUGGACAAUACUUUUAUGAUCUGAUCUCAAAUCAGGUAGGACUACCCGCUGAACUUAAGC
rnacentral:misc_RNA from 1 species